UACGUAGGGUGCAGGCGUUAAUCGGAAUUACUGGGCGUAAAGCGCGCGCAGGCGGUUUGCUAAGUCAGGUGUGAAAUCCCCGGGCUUAACCUGGGAACUGCGCUUGUUACUGGCAGGCUUGAGUGUGGCAGAGGGGGGUGGAAUUCCACGUGUAGCAGUGAAAUGCGUAGAGAUGUGGAGGAACACCGAUGGCGAAGGCAGCCCCCUGGGCUAACACUGACGCUCAUGCACGAAAGCGUGGGGAGCAAACAGG
rnacentral:rRNA from 1 species